rnacentral:rRNA from 1 species
GAGUUUGAUUCUGGCUCAGGAUGAACGCUAGCGGCAGGCCUAACACAUGCAAGUCGAGGGGUAGGGUGCUUCGGCACUUGAGACCGGCGUACGGGUGCGUAACGCGUGUACAAUCUACCUUUUGCUAAGGGAUAGCCCGAAGAAAUUUGGAUUAAUACCUUAUAGUAUUAUUUGGUGGCAUCAUUAAAUAAUUAAAGCUACGGUGGCAAAAGAUGAGUACGCGUCCCAUUAGCUAGUUGGAGUGGUAACGGCACACCAAGGCUACGAUGGGUAGGGGUUCUGAGAGGGAUGUCCCCCACACUGGUACUGAGACACGGACCAGACUCCUACGGGAGGCAGCAGUGAGGAAUAUUGGACAAUGGUCGGAAGACUGAUCCAGCCAUGCCGCGUGCAGGAUGACGGCCUUAUGGGUUGUAAACUGCUUUUGUAUGGGAAGAAUAAGGUCUACGUGUAGAUUGAUGACG